UACGGAGGGGGCGAGCGUUAUUCGGAAUUAUUGGGCGUAAAGGGCGCGUAGGCGGCUUGACAAGUCAAAGGUGAAAUCCCACGGCUUAACCGUGGAACUGCUUGGUAUACUGCCAGUCUUGAGCCAGCUAGGGGCUACCGGAACAAAUGGUGGAGCGGUGAAAUGCGUAGAUAUCAUUUGGAACGCCAAUGGUGAAAACAGGUAGCUGGGGCUGUGCUGACGCUGAGACACGAAAGCCAGGGGAGCAAACGGG
rnacentral:rRNA from 1 species